UACGUAGGGGGCAAGCGUUGUCCGGAUUUAUUGGGCGUAAAGAGCGUGUAGGCGGUUAGGUAGGUCCGUUGUGAAAACUCGAGGCUCAACCUCGAGACGCCGAUGGAAACCAUCUAACUAGAGUCCGGAAGAGGAGAAUGGAAUUCCUGGUGUAGCGGUGAAAUGCGCAGAUAUCAGGAAGAACACCCGUGGCUAAGGCGGGUCUCUGGGCAGUAACUGACGCUGAGGAGCGAAAGCGUGGGGAGCGAACAGG
rnacentral:rRNA from 1 species